ACGCUCCCUUUGGCAGCAUAUAUACUAAAACUGCAAUGAUACAGAGAAGUUAGCAUUACCCCUGUGCAAAGGAUGACACGCAAAUUUGUGAAGCAUUCUAUACUCUG